AAGAUUAAGCCAUGCAUGUCUAAGUAUAAGCACUAUACUGUGAAACUGCGAAUGGCUCAUUAAAUCAGUUAUCGUUUAUUUGAUAGUACCUUACUACUUGGAUAACCGUGGUAAUUCUAGAGCUAAUACAUGCUAAAAACCUCGACUUCGGAAGGGGUGUAUUUAUUAGAUAAAAACCAAUGCCCUUCGGGGCUCCUUGGUGAUUCAUAAUAACUUAUCGAAUCGCAU
rnacentral:rRNA from 1 species